rnacentral:rRNA from 1 species
UACGAAGGGGGCUAGCGUUGCUCGGAAUCACUGGGCUUAAAGCGCGUGUAGGCGGGUCUGCACGUCUGUCGCUGAAAUCCCCCGGCUUAACCGGGGAACUGGCGGAGAUACGACCGUCCUGGAGGGGCGUAGGGGGACCUGGAACUUCCGGUGGAGCGGUGAAAUGCGUUAAGAUCGGAAGGAACGCCCGUGGCGAAAGCGAGGUCCUGGACGCCUACUGACGCUGAGACGCGAAAGCCAGGGGAGCGAACGGG